rnacentral:ncRNA from 1 species
ACUGUGGACUAUACAAGAACUUGUAAGUAGUGAAUUAGAAAUAAUCACAAAAGCAUAUAGGUUGAAGCAGUAA